rnacentral:rRNA from 1 species
CAGUGGCGAACGGGUGAGUAACACGUGAGUAACCUGCCCCAGACUCUGGGAUAACCCCGGGAAACCGAGGCUAAUACCGGAUAUGACACAGACAGGCAUCUGUACUGUGUGGAAAGUUUUUCGGUCUGGGAUGGACUCGCGGCCUAUCAGCUUGUUGGUGAGGUAACGGCUCACCAAGGCGACGACGGGUAGCCGGCCUGAGAGGGCGACCGGCCACACUGGGACUGAGACACGGCCCAGACUCCUACGGGAGGCAGCAGUGGGGAAUAUUGCGCAAUGGGCGAAAGCCUGACGCAGCGACGCCGCGUGAGGGAUGAAGGCCUUCGGGUUGUAAACCUCUUUCAGCAGGGAAGAAGCGCAAGUGACGGUACCUGCAGAAGAAGCACCGGCUAACUACGUGCCAGCAGCCGCGGUAAUACGUAGGGUGCAAGCGUUGUCCGGAAUUAUUGGGCGUAAAGAGCUCGUAGGCGGUCUGUCGCGUCUGGUGUGAAAAUCCAGGGCUUAACCCUGGACCUGCAUCGGGUACGGGCAGACUAGAGUGCGGUAGGGGAGAUCGGAAUUCCUGGUGUAGCGGUGAAAUGCGCAGAUAUCAGGAGGAACACCGGUGGCGAAGGCGGAUCUCUGGGCCGUAACUGACGCUG